AAAUUGAAGAGUUUGAUCAUGGCUCAGAUUGAACGCUGGCGGCAGGCCUAACACAUGCAAGUCGAACGGUAACAGGAAGCAGCUUGCUGUUUCGCUGACGAGUGGCGGAAGGGUGAGUAAUGUCUGGGAAACUGCCUGUUGGAGGGGGAUAACUACUGGAAACGGUGGCUAAUACCGCAUAACGUCGCAAGACCAAAGAGGGGGAC
rnacentral:rRNA from 1 species